UUCCUCUUUAAUACCGUUCCUAAAUACCUUCAAACUUGCCUUACCUUCAGAUAGACAAGCAGUCUCAUGUACUGUGGACGACACUGACGAAGCAGUUCCUGCUAAACACAAGGCAACAAAAGUUUUUUUUUCACAGGAAAAGGUCAAUUUUAGCAAUAGAAACAUAACUUUAGGGUGUGGUAACUUACCUAAAUCUGCAGUUUCCUGGACCUGUGCUUUGACUGUAGAAGGUAAUGCAG
rnacentral:misc_RNA from 1 species